AACGAACGCUGGCGGCGUGGCUAAAACAUGCAAGUCGAACGCGAAAGUGGAGCUUGCUCCGCGAGUAGAGUGGCGUAAGGGCGAGGAAUACAUGGAUAACGUACCCCGGGCACCGGGAUAGCUGUGGGAAACUGCAGGUAAUACCGGAUGAGACCACAGCACCUACGGGUGCAGCGGUCAAAGGGUGGGGAUUCCUUCGGGAACCUGUCGGCCUGGGAGCGGUCCAUGUCCUAUCAGCUUGUUGGUGAGGUAAUGGCUCACCAAGGCUAAGACGGGUAGCGGGACUGAGAGGUUGACCCGCCGCAUCGGGACUGAGACACUGCCCGGACUCCUACGGGAGGCUGCAGUAACGAAUAUUGGACAAUGAGCGAAAGCUUGAUCCAGCGACGCCGCGUGUAGGACGAAGUCCCUCGGGAUGUAAACUACUGUCAGGGACUACCAAGCAAAUGGAGCUAAUAUCUCCAUGCGUUGAGGAUUCCCAGAGGAAGUCACGGCUAACUUCGUGCCAGCAGCCGCGGUAAGACGAAGGUGGCGAGCGUUGUUCGGAAUUACUGGGCUUAAAGCGCACGCAGGCGGGCUAUCAAGCGUCUUGUGAAAGCCCUCGGCUCAACCGAGGAAUUGCUGGGCGAACUGGCAGCCUUGAGGCAGGUAGGGGCAACUGGAACUCUUGGUGGAGCGGUGGAAUGCGUAGAUAUCAAGGGGAACGCCGGAGGCGAAGGCGAGUUGCUGGGCCUGUCCUGACGCUGAGGUGCGAAAGCGUGGGGAGCGAACGGGAUUAGAUACCCCGGUAGUCCACGCCCUAAACGAUGUGAACUAGGUCGGAGGCACUCUGACGUGUUUUUGGCCGAAAUGAAAACGGUAAGUUCACCGCCUGGGGAGUACGGUCGCAAGGCUAAAACUCAAAGGAAUUGACGGGGGCUCACACAAGCGGUGGAGCAUGUUGCUUAAUUCGAUGCAACGCGAAGAACCUUAUCCUGGGCUUGACAUGCUUGGAUGCCCAUCUGGAAACAGAGUAGGCUGCCCUUCGGGGUGAAACUUGCACAGGUGCUGCAUGGCUGUCGUCAGCUCGUGUCGUGAGAUGUUGGGUUAAGUCCCGUAACGAGCGAAACCCUUGCCGUUAGUUGCCAGCGGGUAAUGCCGGGGACUCUAGCGGGACUGCCGGUGUUAAACCGGAGGAAGGUGGGGAUGACGUCAAGUCCUCAUGGCCUUUAUGCCCAGGGCUGCAAACGUGCUACAAUGGCUGGGACAAACCGACGCAAAACCGCGAGGUCGAGCAAAUCGGAAAAAGCCGGCCCCAGUUCGGAUUGGAGUCUGCAACUCGACUCCAUGAAGUUGGAAUCGCUAGUAAUCGCGUAUCAGCGUGACGCGGUGAAUGUGUUCCUGAGCCUUGUACACACCGCCCGUCAAGUCAUGGAAGCCGGGAGCGCCCGAAGUCGGCACGAUUCAGUGCUGCCGAAGGUGAGUUCGGUGACUGGGACU
rnacentral:rRNA from 1 species